AUGCAUUAUAUUGAUUGAUUUCGAUACUACAUGAUUAUAUAUUUUAUUAUCGAAAUUAGAAUAUGAAAUAUGAUUUAUGAAGAAUUAUGAUAUAAGAAACAUUAUGAAUUGACAACCUGACUAUGUAAAGGACCAUGCCAAUGGGGGCAUAUACGUUGGCAAUUGAUUUGUCCUAAGGAUUCAUGUCGUCAGAGAGACCAGCGA
rnacentral:lncRNA from 1 species